CAAGGUCACCAGAGUAAAAUGCUUAACUGUCAUUUGGGUUUUGUCUAAUCAAUAACCAAAGCAAACAGUUUACACACAUGCAAUCAACGUACAACUGGCAGACAUUUCUCAAGCAUUUAGCAUUGGACAUCAUGCUAGCCUCUGGGGACAGAGAGUUACACAAAAUAUGACUCUUACCUUUAAAAGACCAUAGUCUUUCUGGAGGUGUGGAAACUAUGAGCAGAGAGAUAGUAAUGCCAGAGACAGCAUCAGAAUUUGUAGAACUCUGUCUUAUCUGGGUGCAGAUCUCAGUAACUGUUCCACCACUGUGCCUGCCUUCCUGCUGCCUGCCUUCCUGCUGCCUGCCUUCCUGCUGCCAUGAUGGUCAUGGACUCUGAAACUCAAUGAAUGGUACAAUCUAGAUGCAGCAAGCCACAGCUUCUUCUCAGCAAAGUGCUCAAAGGAAUUGUGCCAGUAAACUGUGACGGAUUUCUACAGAUUAAGAACCGUCUAUUAGGCUCAGAUGAAAACUAUCGUAGCUGAAAGUUCUCAUUUGGAAUCAUUCAGUCAUGCCUAUUAACCCCAGCCAUCGCUGCUCUCCUUUAAAGAGUCUAGGGAGAGGAGGUCACCUAGGAGAUUAAAAAGUGCAGAAGAGAGUCUGUCUGCCUGUCUGCCCCAAGGGAAUCUUCUGUUGCAUUUGGAUCAAGUUGUAGAGCUCUUCCAGUACCAUGUAUGCCUGCAUGCUGCCAUGCUUCCUGCCAUGAUGAUAAUGGACUGAACCUCUGA